rnacentral:rRNA from 1 species
CGCAACCCUCGUCCUUAGUUGCCAUCAUUAAGUUGGGCACUUUAAGGAAACUGCCGGUGAUAAGCCGGAGGAAGGUGGGGAUGACGUCAAGUCCUCAUGGCCCUUACAGGCUGGGCUACACACGUGCUACAAUGGCAUCUACAGUGGGCAGCUAUUCCGCAAGGAUGCGCUAAUCUCCAAAAGAUGUCUCAGUUCGGAUUGUCCUCUGCAACUCGAGGGCAUGAAGGCGGAAUCGCUAGUAAUCGCGGAUCAGCAUGCCGCGGUGAAUACGUUCCCAGGCCUU